rnacentral:rRNA from 1 species
UACGGAGGGUGCAAGCGUUAUCCGGAUUCACUGGGUUUAAAGGGUGCGUAGGUGGGCAGUUAAGUCAGUGGUGAAAUCUCCGGGCUUAACCCGGAAACUGCCAUUGAUACUAUCUGUCUUGAAUACCGUGGAGGUGAGCGGAAUAUGUCAUGUAGCGGUGAAACGCUUAGAUAUGACAUAGAACACCAAUUGCGAAGGCAGCUCACUACACGAAUAUUGACACUGAGGCACGAAAGCGUGGGGAUCAAACAGG